rnacentral:rRNA from 1 species
GACAGAGGGUGCAAACGUUGUUCGGAAUUACUGGGCGUAAAGCGCGUGUAGGCGGCAGAGCAUGUCGGAUGUGAAAUCCCGUGGCUCAACCACGGAAGUGCACCCGAAACUGCUCAGCUAGAGUCUCGGAGAGGAAGAUGGAAUGCUUGGUGUAGAGGUGAAAUUCGUAGAUAUCAAGCGGAACACCGGUGGCGAAGGCGGUCUUCUGGACGAUGACUGACGCUGAGACGCGAAAGCGUGGGGAGCAAACAGG